UGCGAUUGAGAGCAACAAGACAUA
rnacentral:siRNA from 1 species